rnacentral:lncRNA from 1 species
AGUCUUAAUCUGCUGCAAACGAUGGCAGAAAAAUCAUUCAAAUGGAACUUAGCGAAUAAUUAUAAUACAUCCGUUAUGGUAGACCCACUUUCGGUUUUUAGGAUUUGCUCGCGCGUUUGUCUAUCUUUAAAGAGCGCAAAUUUGUGGAUUUUAACAUCAAACACUCAAAAGAACAAGUUUUAAUGGAUAUUUUGGUUAAAAGAAAAAUAAAUUUGGGAAUUAAACUGACGUUUCAAAAUGCUCCUGGAAAGAGAAACAUAUUUAAAUGACUGUCUAUGCAAAAUUAAAAGGCCUUUACUUGGAUCAAAUUGGUUGUUUAGGCCCUCAAUAUGGCCGAGAUCAAUGCUGACUUCACAUGAAAAUGCCAAUCACUCACCCAUAAAUUGCAUCAUAAUUGAAGGAAAUGGCAUCUUGGAGGCUCAACGUUGAUAUUUUUACAACGUAAAAUGAAUAAAUUUUCGAUAAAUCUUAAUGAAACUCCAUCAAAUGGCUUUAUGAACAAACAAAAAUUAACACUUGCAUAGGAUAUUACUUAAUUCUAAUGAUAAACCGUGAUAUUUGAAUAUAAUCAAAGUAAUACAAUCCCUAAAAAUGGAUAGAUUUGUACAAUUUUUGUUUAGUUUUUGAUCGAUUAGGGACGAGAAAAGUACGAUAUUUAAAGAAUUUCCAUUAUAAUAAUGUAUGUAUAAUAAUAUGUAUCUACAACACGAAAAUUAGAUUGUAUAAAGAUGAAU